GUGAGGAAUAUUGGACAAUGGGCGCAAGCCUGAUCCAGCCAUGCCGCGUGCAGGAAGACGCAUCUAUGGUGUGUAAACUGCUUUUGUACGGGAAGAAACACUCCCUCGUGAGGGAGCUUGACGGUACCGUAAGAAUAAGGAUCGGCUAACUCCGUGCCAGCAGCCGCGGUAAUACGGAGGAUCCAAGCGUUAUCAGGAAUCAUUGGGUUUAAAGGUUCCGUAGGCGGCUUAUUAAGUCAGUAGUUAAAGCCCAUCGCUCAACGAUGUAACGGCCAUUGAUACUGUUAGACUUGAAUUACAAGGAAGUAACUAUAAUAUGUAGUGUAGCGGUGAAAUGCUUAGAUAUUACAUGGAAUACCAAUUGCGAAGGCAGGUUACUACUUGUAGAUUGACGCUGAUGGACGAAAGCGUGGGGAGCGAACAGGAUUAGAAACCCGGGUAGUCC
rnacentral:rRNA from 1 species